UUCCGGUUGAUCCCGCCGCCGGCCACCGCUAUCAAGUUCCGACUAAGCCAUGCGAGUCAAGGUAUCGUAAGAUGCCGGCAAACUGCUCAGUAACACGUGGAUAAUCUAACCUUGAGUAAGGGAUAACCUCGGGAAACUGAGGAUAAUACCUUAUAAUUGCUUAAAACUGGAAUGUUUAAGCAAUAAAAGUUCCGACGCUCAAGGAUGAGUCUGCGACCUAUCAGGUAGUAGGUGGUGUAAUGGACCACCUAGCCUCAGACGGGUACGGGCCCUGGGAGGGGUAGCCCGGAGAUGGACUCUGAGACAUCAGUCCAGGCCCUACGGGGCGCAGCAGGCGCGAACACUGUGCAAUGCGCGAAAGCGCGACACGGGGAGCUUAAGUGUCUUGGCAUAGCCAAGACUUUUCUCAUUCCUAAAAAGCAUGAGGAAUAAGUGCUGGGUAAGACGGGUGCCAGCCGCCGCGGUAACACCCGCAGCACAAGUGGUGGUCACUUUUAUUGAGCCUAAAGCGUUCGUAGCCGGUUUUGUAAAUCUUUAGAUAAAGCCUGAAGCUUAACUCCAGAAAGUCUGAAGAGACUGCAAGACUUGAGAUCGGGUGAGGUUAAACGUACUUUCAGGGUAGGGGUAAAAUCCUGUAAUCCUGGGGGGACGACCGGUGGCGGAAGCGUCUCGCUAGAACGACUCCGACGGUGAGGGACGAAGGCUAGGGGAGCAAACCGGAUUAGAUACCCGGGUAGUCCUAGCUGUAAACGCUGCACACUUGGUGUUGCCCCUUCUUAGGGAAAGGGCAGUGCCGGAGCGAAGGUGUUAAGUGUGCCGCUUGGGGAGUAUGGUCGCAAGGCUGAAACUUAAAGGAAUUGGCGGGAGAGCACCGCAACGGGAGGAGCGUGCGGUUUAAUUGGAUUCACCGCCGGGA
rnacentral:rRNA from 1 species